rnacentral:tRNA from 1 species
GCCAGUGUGGUGUAGUAGUUUGAGCACUGGACUAUGACUCUGGAGACCAGGGUUCAAAUCCCUGCUCAGCCA